rnacentral:rRNA from 1 species
CAAUAGCGUGUAUUAAAGUUGUUGCAGUUAGAACGCUCGUAGUCGGAUUUCGGGGCGGGCCGACCGGUCUGCCGAUGGGUAUGCACUGGUCGGCGCGUCCUUCCUUCCGGAGACCGUCCCUACUCUUAACUGAGCGGGGGCGGGAGACGGGACUUUUACUUUGAAAAAAUCAGAGUGUUUCAAGCAGGCAGCUCGCUCUUGCAUGGAUUAGCAUGGGAUAAUGAAAUAGGACUUUGGUGCUAUUUUGUUGGUUUCGAACACCGAAGUAAUGAUGAGAAGGGACAGUCAGGGGCACUCGUAUUCCGCCGAGAGAGGUGAAAUUCUCAGACCAGCGGAAGACGAACCACUGCGAAAGCAUUUGCCAGGGAUGUUUNCACUGA